rnacentral:rRNA from 1 species
UCCGUAGGCGGGCCAUUAAGUCAGAGGUGAAAGUCUGCGGCUCAACCGUAGAAUUGCCUUUGAUACUGGUGGUCUUGAGUUAUGGUGAAGUGGCUGGAAUAUGUAGUGUAGCGGUGAAAUGCAUAGAUAUUACAUAGAACACCGAUUGCGAAGGCAGGUCACUAACCAUAUACUGACGCUGAUGGACGAAAGCGUGGGGAGCGAACAGGAUUAGAUACCCUGGUAGUCC